GUGCUCGUGGGCCAUGCGCGCGAGGGCGUGGAUGUCGGGCAUCCAGCCGGUGACGUUGCUGGCCCCGGUCACCGCCACGAGCUUGACCUGGUUGCUGCGCAGCAGGUCGCGGACGUGGUCCAUGUCGAGGCUGCCGUCCUCGCGGGCGCG
rnacentral:tRNA from 1 species